UGCCAGCAGCCGCGGUAACACGGAGGGUGCAAGCGUUAAUCGGAAUUACUGGGCGUAAAGCGCGCGUAGGCGGCUUGUUAAGCUGGAUGUGAAAGCCCCGGGCUCAACCUGGGAACUGCAUCCAGAACUGGCAAGCUAGAGUACGGUAGAGGGUAGUGGAAUUUCAGGUGUAGCGGUGAAAUGCGUAGAGAUCUGAAGGAACACCAGUGGCGAAGGCGACUGCCUGGACCGAUACGGACGCUGAGGUGCGAAAGCGUGGGGAGCAAACAGGAUUAGAUA
rnacentral:rRNA from 1 species